CGACGAGUCGUCUUUUAGAUGACGAAGUGGUUGAUGCCAUGCUUCCAAGAAAAGCUUCUAAGCUUCAGGUAACCAGGAACCGUACCCCAAACCGACACAGGUGGUCGGGUAGAGAAUACCAAGGCGCUUGAGAGAACUCGGGUGAAGGAACUAGGCAAAAUGGCACCGUAACUUCGGGAGAAGGUGCGCCGGCUAGGGUGAAGGAUUUACUCCGUAAGCUCUGGCUGGUCGAAGAUACCAGGCCGCUGCGACUGUUUAUUAAAAACACAGCACUCUGCAAACACGAAAGUGGACGUAUAGGGUGUGACGCCUGCCCGGUGCCGGAAGGUUAAUUGAUGGGGUUAGCGCAAGCGAAGCUCUUGAUCGAAGCCCCGGUAAACGGCGGCCGUAACUAUAACGGUCCUAAGGUAGCGAAAUUCCUCGUCGGGUAAGUUCCGACCUGCACGAAUGGCGUAACGAUGGCGGCGCUGUCUCCACCCGAGACUCAGUGAAAUUGAAAUCGCUGUGAAGAUGCAGUGUAUCCGCGGCUAGACGGAAAGACCCCGUGAACCUUUACUGUAGCUUUGCACUGGACUUUGAGCCUGCUUGUGUAGGAUAGGUGGGAGGCUUUGAAGCGUGGACGCCAGCUCGCGUGGAGCCAUCCUUGAAAUACCACCCUGGCAUGCUUGAGGUUCUAACUCUGGUCCGUAAUCCGGAUCGAGGACAGUGUAUGGUGGGCAGUUUGACUGGGGCGGUCUCCUCCUAAAGAGUAACGGAGGAGUACGAAGGUGCGCUCAGACCGGUCGGAAAUCGGUCGCAGAGUAUAAAGGCAAAAGCGCGCUUGACUGCGAGACAGACACGUCGAGCAGGUACGAAAGUAGGUCUUAGUGAUCCGGUGGUUCUGUAUGGAAGGGCCAUCGCUCAACGGAUAAAAGGUACUCCGGGGAUAACAGGCUGAUACCGCCCAAGAGUUCAUAUCGACGGCGGUGUUUGGCACCUCGAUGUCGGCUCAUCACAUCCUGGGGCUGAAGCCGGUCCCAAGGGUAUGGCUGUUCGCCAUUUAAAGUGGUACGCGAGCUGGGUUUAGAACGUCGUGAGACAGUUCGGUCCCUAUCUGCCGUGGACGUUUGAGAUUUGAGAGGGGCUGCUCCUAGUACGAGAGGACCGGAGUGGACGAACCUCUGGUGUUCCGGUUGUCACGCCAGUGGCAUUGCCGGGUAGCUAUGUUCGGAAAAGAUAACCGCUGAAAGCAUCUAAGCGGGAAACUUGCCUCAAGAUGAGAUCUCACUGGGAACUUGAUUCCCCUGAAGGGCCGUCGAAGACUACGACGUUGAUAGGCUGGGUGUGUAAGCGUUGUGAGGCGUUGAGCUAACCAGUACUAAUUGCCCGUGAGGCUUGACC
rnacentral:rRNA from 1 species